GCCUGGGUGGCUCAGUCGGUUGAGCGUCCGACUUCGGCUCAGGUCACGAUCUCAUGGUCCGUGAGUUCGAGCCCCGCAUCGGGCU
rnacentral:tRNA from 1 species